UGCACCCGUAGCUCAACUGGAUAGAGCACCGGUCUUCGGAACCGGGGGUUGGGGGUUCGAAUCCCUCCGGGUGUAU
rnacentral:tRNA from 2 species